CGGCGCAUGCGGGAGUCGGAAAGGAAAAGUUGAGGGAACCGCCGGGGGCCGUGUGCAGAGGAAGAUGAUUUAUGGGCUGAGAAGAUGUAUCUGAGAGGCGACAACAACAACUGUGAACGCCGUCAGCCCCGUCUGCACUGCUGCCAACGUUGGCUAUGCUAGCAGCGCUGGACGUCGCCAUGUUGAGAGCCGUGUGGAGUCAAUCCCUCAAUCACAUGCUCUGAAAGGCACCUUUUUAAAGCGAGGAGCCAUUUGAAGAACUGUGGAUUCAUAACACCGGGUCCUCCGCUGUUCUUCUCCAAAACAAUUCCUGCGUUCGCUGUUUUGCAUCUUCACUCCUUUUU